ACUAAAGAAGGGUCUAGGCCCGAAACGUCAGCCUUUCUGCUCCUACGAUGCUGCUUGGCCUGCUGUGUUCAUCCAGCUCUGCACCUUGUUGUCAUGUGAUCGUCCUCGCGCGCAGUGCUGUAUCGUUGUGACCAAGAUUUGGGAGUGUGUGGAAAGUGCAGGGCACGCGAUACCAUUGCCAAAGCCUUGUUGCCUGUGGAAAAGGUGAUGUUUGACCUUCUUGUACUGCUGCAGUUCGUGCGGUAAAGGUGCUCCCACAAUGCGGUUAGAUUUCCACAAUUUUACUUCUGCACUAUUCUUAGUCUUUCAGAGGGAUCGAAAGAUUGAGUUACAGAUCUAUACAAUGCCUGUCCUUCCUGGCUCUUCCACCUCUCUCUUUCGGUAGUUUUGUGCAAACACUGACUGGAUCCCUUACCUGGAGGAUAUUUACGAAUGAAUUUGUUCUAAUGAUAAUCCAGCAUAUUCCCCAAGUGUCGCUCCACAAAUGUUCAGAGAAUU